CCUACGGGUGGCUGCAGUGGGGAAUAUUGGACAAUGGGCGAAAGCCUGAUCCAGCCAUGCCGCGUGUGUGAAGAAGGCCUUCGGGUUGUAAAGCACUUUCAGUGGGGAAGAAAGCCUUGGGGCUAAUACCCUCGAGGAAGGACAUCACCCACAGAAGAAGCACCGGCUAACUCCGUGCCAGCAGCCGCGGUAAUACGGAGGGUGCGAGCGUUAAUCGGAAUUACUGGGCGUAAAGCGCGCGUAGGCGGUCUGAUAAGCCGGUUGUGAAAGCCCCGGGCUCAACCCGGGAACGGCAUCCGGAACUGUCAGGCUAGAGUGCAGGAGAGGAAGGUAGAAUUCCCGGUGUAGCGGUGAAUGCGUAGAGAUCGGGAGGAAUACCAGUGGCGAAGGCGGCCUUCUGGACUGACACUGACGCUGAGGUGCGAAAGCGUGGGUAGCAAACAGGAUUAGAUACCCCAGUAGUC
rnacentral:rRNA from 1 species